AAAAUUGAUAGAGUACUAAAUGUGAUACGAACCAUCCUCACCUGGAGAUGCCGCCUGAAACAGAGGAACCACACGGUACAGGACAGCAAUUGUUGUCAGAGGCUACCACACAGAGGAACCACCAUAUCCCUAGUGGUGACCCAAAGGGGAGGCAUCUGUCUGUAAAAUAAGAGGGUGGGGGAAAUUCAGACAAGUUAGAAAUAGCAUCAAAGUUCAACUACUGUAUAAAAGUACAUGUAUUAUAUUUGGAUGUGUAUUCUAUAUAGCAUUUUGUAAAGUGAAAGCAGCUUCUACUGUAUCAAAUAACUGCUGAAAGUAAGGAAUAUACAGUGAAACACGGUUAUUGCGUACACACUUAAAAUGAAUUGACGCUUACAGUGAAGUGAUUUUCAUUCCCCAUGACUUUAUUACAUGUUGUAAACUUGACAGAUAUAGUGAUUCACUUUUAUAAUGAAAAAUAUCACCCAUCCAAGCGUGUUUUACUAUAUGUAUGCAUGUUUGUUUCUUUUCAUGAGAAUACAUGUACAUACGAAAUGGACUCAUUGACUGCUUGAUCUGUCAUUACCUAUAUAGUUAAAAAUUACUUGAUGUACUCAUUUC
rnacentral:sRNA from 1 species